rnacentral:rRNA from 1 species
CCUACGGGGGGCAGCAGUGGGGAAUCUUGCGCAAUGGGCGAAAGCCUGACGCAGCGACGCCGCGUGCGGGAUGACGGCCUUCGGGUUGUAAACCGCUUUCAGCAGGGACGAGGCCGCAAGGUGACGGUACCUGCAGAAGAAGCCCCGGCUAACUACGUGCCAGCAGCCGCGGUAAUACGUAGGGGGCGAGCGUUAUCCGGAUUCAUUGGGCGUAAAGCGCGCGUAGGCGGCCAGUUAGGUCGGGAGUCAAAUUUCGGGGCUCAACCCCGUCUCGCUCCCGAUACCGGCUGGCUUGAGUGUGGUAGGGGAAGGCGGAAUUCCCGGUGUAGCGGUGGAAUGCGCAGAUAUCGGGAAGAACACCGGUGGCGAAGGCGGCCUUCUGGGCCAUCACUGACGCUGA